rnacentral:rRNA from 1 species
CAGCAGCCACGGGAAUACGUAGGGUGCGAGCGUUAAUCGGAAUUACUGGGCGUAAAGCGUGCGCAGGCGGUUAUAUAAGACAGAUGUGAAAUCCCCGGGCUCAACCUGGGACCUGCAUUUGUGACUGUAUAGCUAGAGUACGGUAGAGGGGGAUGGAAUUCCGCGUGUAGCAGUGAAAUGCGUAGAUAUGCGGAGGAACACCGAUGGCGAAGGCAAUCCCCUGGACCUGUACUGACGCUCAUGCACGAAAGCGUGGGGAGCAAACAGGAUUAGAGACCCGUGUAGUCCCUGUCUCUUAUAA